GGAGACUAGACUCCCUUCCUGGUUGUGCAGAUGGCUGUUGUCUGGGACGGUGAUCUUUGUGUUUCCUGGAUUGGAUUUUAAAACAAAUGUCAUGAUGAUCAUGAUAAAGUGAAAGUGAAACCAGAAGACUUCUAAGUCACUCAUUUUCAAUCCUUAUUCAUUCAGCGUGUAAUACAAAUACGACAAGGAGAGAAACUUUAACACAAUGGAAUAAUUUUUGACCUCAACAAGAUUUACAGAAAGUUACCACAUGUCAAAGAAAAAUUUUCCUCAUUUCCAAAUCGUCAGAUAAUUAGAAGAUGAUUCUUAUAUGACAGUGAAUGAACAAGUAUUACCGGAACUGUAGAGAGGCCUUAAGUGAGUCAUAAAUUGGAUAAUUAACUCAACUUUGCCACCAUAAUGCAAGGAAUCCCAGCUUAAACAAAUGUUUUUCUACUGUGCUGAUUAAAGAAAAUAUCUCCAUCAGGUUGCUCUGUGGGCAUGGGACCGGGUGGUGAGUGCAACUCGGCAGGCGGGAGUUCCUUUGUUUCCACAGCCUGCAGGCAUCAAGGUAGGCCUUUUGUCUGUGAGGUCCCUGGCCAGCAAGGGGAUCUGAUCCUGUACCAGAAGAUCCAUAGGGGAGCAUUCAGAGGAAGAGAUGGGCAGGUGCCAAUGCAAGAAUUCCUCCAACAAUCUGAAAAACAACAUGAAAACACCAGAACCCAGCGAACUUACAACAGGAGGACUUGAACACCCUAAUCAAGAAGAAGUAGAAAAAAUUGACUUCAUGAAAGUGAUAGAGUCCCUUAAACAGGCAGUGAAAAACUCCCUUAAAGAAAUGGAUGAGAAGAAUAACAAAAAGUUUGAAGAAAUGAGUAAAUCUGUAAAUGAAAUCCUAGGAAACCAAGGAAAACCAAUCAAACAGAUAAUGGAAACUUUUUCUAGUAGUGUCCCCUAUUUUUGUAACAUAUCCUAAAAAUCCUGUCACUAAUAUCCUUCACCAACAGCACUUGCUUCCCAAAUUUCUCCGUAUCCAAUGUAAAGCUUUGCUACCUUUUACAUUUUCACCUAUCUUUUCUGUUUUAAACCUUUGCAUUGCAUAAAUUUAUAAUUUAUUGUAUAAAUUGAAAAUUUUCACAUUUCAGAAAAUUUGAAUUAUGGUUCUUCUAUAUAAACUUAUAUUCAGAUAUUUUAAAUAAUGCCAAAUUGCGUUGUUAAUGUUGUCUCCUUUUAUUUAAGCAUAUCAUGUUAAGUAUAUGCAUGACAAAAGUAUGUUAUAUAUUUACCCUUAACUAUA